rnacentral:rRNA from 1 species
UACGUAGGGGGCAAGCGUUGUCCGGAAUCAUUGGGCGUAAAGGGCGCGUAGGUGGCCCGGUCAGUUCGUGGUGAAAGCGCGGGGCUCAACCCUGCGUCGGCCAUGAAUACUGCCGCGGCUGGAGCACUGUAGAGGCAGGCGGAAUUCCGGGUGUAGCGGUGGAAUGCGUAGAGAUCGGCAGGAACACCCAGGGGAAACCGAGCCGACUGGGCAUCUACGUGACGCUGAGGUGCGAGAGCGUGGGGAGCGAACCGG